UGUAAGCUAGCCAAUGCCUAGCCAGCAAUGUUUUGAUGGAUGGAAGUGUUAGCCAAUCACAAGGACGUUUACAGUGAUUCACAGUUUGCACCGUUUCGUAAUCAGUUUGAAGAUUCAGCGAGCGCAAAAGUUGCUGUGUGUCCGUGCGCUCUCGUCUUUACACCCGUGGCGCACUCAAAGCGGCGCAGCAGCGCUACACGGGUAUCUAUCAGCGAGCGGAUUUUCUCCACAGCUUGCAUCUGAAUCUCUCCAGCAAAGAACGUCGACUUUAGAAGAGUUUUUGGUGGUGUUUGAUCGUGUUUUUGGAGGCCGUGAUGAGAAGCAGCGGCGAAGAGCAGCAGAAAGACCCGGAGAGAUGCAUGCAGCCAGGGAUAGCAUUAGCACUGACUUUGGUGUGCAGUUGGUCAAAGAACAAACCUUUUUAGUGACUGCCUUGAGUGUCUUCCUACACUGUAAAUACUGUAAAUAGUUGCUUUUAGUUUUUCAGUAACUUGAUAUUCAUAAUAAUUAGCAGAGAAAAAAAAGUACAAUUACAAAAUGUAAAAUAAAUAAAUUGUAUUUUGCAUGUUUUGUGUUCAUUCACUCUAAAAUGAUCACUGAUCAAAUCUGUUUUCAUUAUUAGAAUUGUUCAAAAUAAAUAGUUUAGUUAAAAUGUUUAAAUGUUGUUCUGAAAUAGUUUUGUGUUUGUUUGUGGUUUCAUGGGUAGAGUUCUGAGUUGAUUAUACAUAUGUAGUGUAUGUAGUAUGCAGUGUCAUAUGGAGUCUCUAAAUAGCCUUUUUGAAAGUAUUCCUAGACUUUUCUUGAAAUAAAAGAUCUAAAUGAC